CCCUUAGAGUUUGAUCAUGGCUCAGGACGAACGCUGGCGGCGUGCUUAACACAUGCAAGUCGAACGGAAAGGCCCUUCGGGGUACUCGAGUGGCGAACGGGUGAGUAACACGUGGGUGAUCUGCCCUGCACUUUGGGAUAAGCCUGGGAAACUGGGUCUAAUACCGAAUAUGACCAUGCGCCUCCUGGUGUGUGGUGGAAAGCUUUUGCGGUGUGGGAUGGGCCCGCGGCCUAUCAGCUUGUUGGUGGGGUAAUGGCCUACCAAGGCGACGACGGGUAGCCGGCCUGAGAGGGUGACCGGCCACACUGGGACUGAGAUACGGCCCAGACUCCUACGGGAGGCAGCAGUGGGGAAUAUUGCACAAUGGGCGCAAGCCUGAUGCAGCGACGCCGCGUGAGGGAUGACGGCCUUCGGGUUGUAAACCUCUUUCAGCACAGACGAAGCGCAAGUGACGGUAUGUGCAGAAGAAGGACCGGCCAACUACGUGCCAGCAGCCGCGGUAAUACGUAGGGUCCGAGCGUUGUCCGGAAUUACUGGGCGUAAAGAGCUCGUAGGUGGUUUGUCGCGUUGUUCGUGAAAACUCACAGCUUAACUGUGGGCGUGCGGGCGAUACGGGCAGACUUGAGUACUGCAGGGGAGACUGGAAUUCCUGGUGUAGCGGUGGAAUGCGCAGAUAUCAGGAGGAACACCGGUGGCGAAGGCGGGUCUCUGGGCAGUAACUGACGCUGAGGAGCGAAAGCGUGGGGAGCGAACAGGAUUAGAUACCCUGGUAGUCCACGCCGUAAACGGUGGGUACUAGGUGUGGGUUUCCUUCCUUGGGAUCCGUGCCGUAGCUAACGCAUUAAGUACCCCGCCUGGGGAGUACGGCCGCAAGGCUAAAACUCAAAGAAAUUGACGGGGGCCCGCACAAGCGGCGGAGCAUGUGGAUUAAUUCGAUGCAACGCGAAGAACCUUACCUGGGUUUGACAUGCACAGGACGACUGCAGAGAUGUGGUUUCCCUUGUGGCCUGUGUGCAGGUGGUGCAUGGCUGUCGUCAGCUCGUGUCGUGAGAUGUUGGGUUAAGUCCCGCAACGAGCGCAACCCUUGUCCUAUGUUGCCAGCGGGUUAUGCCGGGGACUCGUAGGAGACUGCCGGGGUCAACUCGGAGGAAGGUGGGGAUGACGUCAAGUCAUCAUGCCCCUUAUGUCCAGGGCUUCACACAUGCUACAAUGG
rnacentral:rRNA from 1 species